rnacentral:rRNA from 1 species
UUGGAGGGCAAGUCUGGUGCCAGCAGCCGCGGUAAUUCCAGCUCCAAUAGCGUACAUUAAAGUUGUUGCAGUUAAAAAGCUCGUAGUUGAAUUUCGGGACCAAUUUGUUGGUCGUGCCUCGGUACGUACUGGUAUUAUUGGUUUCUCCCUUCUGAAGAACCUUGAUGUCAUUAAUUUGGUGUCUUGGGGAAUCAGGACUGUUACUUUGAAAAAAUUAGAGUGUUUAAAGCAGGCAUACGCUUGAAUACAUUAGCAUGGAAUAAUGAAAUAGGACGUUUGAUUCUAUUUUGUUGGUUUCUAGGAUCGACGUAAUGAUUAAUAGGGAUAGUUGGGGGCAUUAGUAUUCAAUUGUCAGAGGUGAAAUUCUUGGAUUUAUUGAAGACUAACUACUGCGAAAGCAUUUGCCAAGGAUGUUUUCAUUAAUCAAGAACGAAAGUUAGGGGAUCGAAGACGAUCAGAUACCGUCGUAGUCUUAACCAUAAACUAUGCCGACUAGGGAUCGGAUGAUGUUAUUUUUAAUGACUCAUUCGGCGCCUUACGGGAAACCAAAGUGUUUGGGUUC